AUAUUUGGAAAUGGUGAGCGAAGAAACAAGCAAGUGGAAAACGACCCCAAGUCCCCUCCCCAGGACUGCAGAAUUCUACGUUUUUCAUCAGACCAACCAGAUUCUCAUUUUGUGCCACACUGGCAAAAAAACGAAGUAACCUUCUGAAAGAAAUGAAUUUUCCCUGCACAUCUGAAAUCACAGUGUUGUAGUGUGUGGAACUUAGGAGCCCUUUGGACUGCCUAGCUCCAGUUAGUGGAGAGUUACUGCUAUUAUUGCAGAAUGUAACGAGAUGAAACUCCCCUGAAGAUAUUCCCUGCCCAGAAGUUGAUGGGACUGCUCAUUUUGCUCUGUUACACCCUUUUUUAAAUGGCUCUUCAUAAAGAUUUGUUUUGCAGCAGUUUCAAGUUAUAUGAGGGAGCUGUAAGAGUGAUGGCACUGCGUGGAAACGGGAUGCACGGGAUCUUAGAGCUUAUCAGCUGAAGGCUCAGAUGCUGCAUGGCACUUGCUGACGCUCUGAAGUGCAUCUUUUUAAUUGUUGCCCAUCUGUGCACAUGAAAUAGCUUGCAUCCUGUGUCAGACAAUUGAUGUUGCUACAGCUGAAAUGAACAGUCCUGGAAAUGUACACUUACCUUUGAUUUUGGAAGUAAUUUUUAUGAAUCUUAGGGGUCUAGAAUUACAGACUAUUCAGACACUGCUAGCAAAAUAUUUGGGUCAUUGUUCAAAUAAUUAGCAGAGCAGAAGCUUCAUGAGAGCUGGUACCGUGGAGGACACCUUGCUACAAGUAGCUGCAGUAUCAAACUGGAUGUCCCGAACAGUUGUUAUCUAAACUGUAUUACAUUAGAUAAUCAGUAAUGUCUUAUCUGUUCCUAUUUUUAAGGUAUUGAGAUUCUGUUGUGUUUUUUUUUUCUGUUGUGUUUUUUUUCAUACUAUUGUUUUGUUUUGUAUUCAAAUGAGAAUGAGAUUUUUCUUGAUUUUCGCAGCUGCAUAGAAUAGAAUAGAAUUCUGAAUAGAAUUUCCUUUACCAAUUAUAAAAGGGGUUUGGUGAAAGGCAGAUUGUACAGUAGCUGCCUGCUUAGCUGACAGGUGAGAGAUUUAUUAGGGGGCUGUAUUAUGUUUGUUGAUUUAUUUAUUAUUAAAAAUCCCUGGUAUCACUUA